UCGAGCGAAUCUUUAGGAGCUKGCUCCUGAAGAUUAGCGGCGGACGGGUGAGUAACACGUGGGCAACCUGCCUGUAAGACUGGGAUAACUUCGGGAAACCGGAGCUAAUACCGGAUAAUCCUUUYCCUCUCAUGAGGGAAAGCUGAAAGUCGGUUUCGGCUGACACUUACAGAUGGGCCCGCGGCGCAUUAGCUAGUUGGUGAGGUAACGGCUCACCAAGGCGACGAUGCGUAGCCGACCUGAGAGGGUGAUCGGCCACACUGGGACUGAGACACGGCCCAGACUCCUACGGGAGGCAGCAGUAGGGAAUCUUCCGCAAUGGACGAAAGUCUGACGGAGCAACGCCGCGUGAGCGAUGAAGGCCUUCGGGUCGUAAAGCUCUGUUGUUAGGGAAGAACAAGUAUCGGAGUAACUGCCGGUACCUUGACGGUACCUAACCAGAAAGCMACGGCUAACUACGUGCCAGCAGCCGCGRWSA
rnacentral:rRNA from 2 species